ensembl:snRNA U2 U2 spliceosomal RNA
AUAGCUUCUCGGCUUUAUGGUUAAGAUCCAGUGUAGUAUCUGUUCUUAUCAAAAUGCCAUGGACAGUCUUAUCCAAUCUAUAAAAAAUUAAAAGUAUACAUACA